AGUAAAGGGGGACUCACGUCACCAUUGACGCUCUGUUUUUUUGGUUCACACGUCACUCAAGGUGCGGUUGUGAGUAUAUCAGAUGACCAAUUCCCCCUUCGCUUGGUUCGGUUUCUUUGUUAAUUCGGCAAUAGGUUCAAUAAUUUGAGAUUUACACCCUGGAGGGAGUUGGUCAACUGAUUUAUCUGAAAGUUUGGUGGUUUGAAUAGAUAUUAGAGCCUUGGAUAGAUAAUAGACAACUACAAAUGAAAGAAGAUAUCAAAUAAAUCGUAUAAACAAAUAAAUUGAGUGAACACAGAUCAGUCUGGUGCAGAGACGUCUUCCACUGGUGAUGUGGAUUGCAUACAGUGGGGAGGGAACAGAGUUGCAUUCUGGUAGCCGUUGAUGCGCUGACCUGUUCUGUUGUGCCAAGGGGUCCUUAGAGCAUGGACCGGGCAGCUGGGUCAGAUGGGUCUUCACAGGGUUUUUUGCAGCAGUGCUGCAUCGCUGAGGAGCCGUGUGUUUCAGGCAGUGUCUGCCAAUGCGGAGGUCCUUUGCAGACUGGGCUGCGCUGCUUUUGGAGCAGCAAGAGUCAGAUGGGGUCCGUUACUGCUGAGUCCUUUGCAACUGAAGGGCAGCCAAAUGUAAUAUAGAAGGUUUAAUUAAGAGCUAAGCGGAACCUUAGCUGUCUCGAGUUCUCUUUUUUGUCAGGCCAGAAACUCAGGACAUUGGAGACUUAGAACAGGUAGUGUUUUUUGGAAGGUUACAUUUAUCCCUUUCUGAUGAGGAGGAGAUUGGAAUUUGGUGCCUCUCCCUUCCAGGAAUGUGAUCGGCUGCUUGUGUCCGCGGUGGCCAUGGUGUUGCCCACCCUAGUGUGGAACUCAUUUGCAUAUGGUAGAGUACCAAGUUUAACAGUGUCUUUAACAUUUUACCCAUGCAAUAUUUCUUUACCAAACCUCUUGAAAAAAGACUCCAAACAUGAUAGGAAACCGUUGUACGAUCACUCAUUUAUACUAUAACAUGUUAAUAGACCUGCUUCCAUGAACUGUUAUGUUAACAGUCAAUGGCCAUCAGCAUAAACUGCACUUUAUGUGAGGGUGACCUGAAUAUGUUUCAGUUUACAUCAAUUUAAGGUCUCCAAACUUAGGUAUGUUGUUCACUACAACCAUAUGUAUGUUCCACCUACCUCUGAUCUGUGAGAAAGAUGUCUGUAAUUUUUUAUUUUCCUUUGAAUCUGGUUUCUGCUUACGUUUUUACACUGUAUGCAGCUUAGGUUCCAUAUUCUGUAGAACAUGUCUAACAUGCCUUCUAAAUCAUUUUCUUUUUAAAGGAGAUGAAGAUGAAGAGCCUGAGCAAGAAGAGUGCUUUGAUCACUGUAUUUCUCCCGUUUUGCUUCUGUUUGCUAGUGGUUAAUGUCCAAACGGUAGAGCAAACUAACAAUCCUAGAUUCUGAGAUAUUCUUGUAUUUCCAAGGACUUUGUGUGGAAUUAAUCUGGCCAGUCACUAUGCUAUAUAUGUUGAUAAUGUGGACAUACCUGGAAAGCUACCUGAACAGAACCUUUUUCACAUGACAAAAUUCCUCAAUGGUAUUACAUCUGGCUGUGGAUUCGGACAAACAAGGAGAAUAACCUUUUCUGUAGACAAUUACUUGGACAACGAUGUACAGCAAAGUGACCAGCAAACCAUCAUCAAUCGUAUUACUGAGCUCAAUAGAGGCUGUGGACAUUGGGAACUGUCAAACACUUGUGAACAUGUUGCCACACAUAUUCGAUAUGGUGAAGCACACAGACAGUGCAAUCAGCAUGGUACUUUGUUUGGAAGUCUAGCAUGCUACAUGUUGAAUGGCAUCAUGAACCCAAACAGAGCAACAGGUUCCUAAAAGGAAGCACAUUCAUGUGUCUGUGUGCACCUCCAGCCUGAAAAUCUUCACUACUGUUUUAAUUUUUCCCUUCUUCCAAAAAAGAUCUUAAUAAA